AGAUGAUCCCACUGAAUGAGCCCCAGCUAACAGUAUCUGGCGCAGGUCACAUUGCAUUCUGUGUGGUCACUGGUUCCCACAGCGGCUCAUCUGUUCGGUCGGAUCUGGUUACGUUCACCUGGCGGCUCAGGGUAGAUGGCGAGGGCCCCACGGCAGCACGGUUUAGCCAGUAGCCUACACAGGCCUGCCUUUCAAAAUCUAGAUUUGACCUUUUAAGAGAAUGGAAGAGUAUAAAUGACAGAUGGCACUCUGAAGCAAACGAUCCCGCGAUAUGAGAGGCGCGAGGUAAUUAAUGUCGCUGUGCCGGUGUCGUGGGAAAGAGCGCGAGGACGGCGGGCAGACAGAUGUAGAUUACGGCUAUGGCAAUGAGUCUCAAGGGGACAGUGCUAGUGGGGUUAUUCCAGAGGCCACCAAGUCACUCAGCCCCGCCCUCGAGUCCAAUGCUCUCAGUGACCAGAAUACCAGGGAGGCCAGGGGAGCCAGAGGACUGUCUGUGGGAGAUGGAGGAGGUGGGCUCUGGAAGUCCUACCCAUCUUGCCCUUCACUGCCACCAUUACACUGAGUCUCCAUUUCUUCUUUAUAUGCCCCUUUUCAGCGAUGAGGAGGAAGCCCAGCGUGUGCGAGUACAGUAGGGCCUAGGCAGCUGGAAUGAGAGGAAGAAACAUUGUCUGUGUGGCCUUCACACAAUUAGCUGCUCUGUGUCUCACUGCCUGAGACAGAGAGACAGAGACCGAGAGAGAGAGACAGACAGAGAAAGAGAGAGACAGAGACCGAGAGAGAGGCUGGAGGCUCCGCGCCACGGACCGCCGCUGGAGGCUCUGCGCCGCGGACCGUCCCUGGAGGCUUCUUACGUGGAGCCGGAACAGGUCUCACCAGACUGGGGAGACGCACUGGAGGUCUGGAGCAUAGGACUGGCACAACCCGCCCUGGCUGGAUGCCCAUUUUAGCCCGGCAAGUGCAGGGCGCUGGCACAGGACGAACUCGGCUGUGAAGGUGCACUGGCGACACAGUGCAUAGAGCUGGCGCAGGGUAUCCUGGGCCGAGGAGACGCACUGGAGACCAGGAGCACUGAGCCGGCACAAUCCGUCCUGGCUGAAUGCCCACUCUAGCAUGGCAAAUGCGGGGCGCAGGCACAGAACGCACCGGGCUAUGAAUGCGCACUGGAGAUAUUGUGCGCAUCACCGCAUAACUCGGUGCCUGACUGGUCACAUGCUCCCUACGGUAAGCACAGGGAGUUGGCUCAGGUCUCAACCCUGACUCCGCCAAUCUACCCAUGUGCCCCCCCCCAAAUGUUUUUGGGGCUGCCUCUCGUGCUUGCCUCGUGGUUGGUAUAAUGCCUCGUAAUAUCGCCGCUCUGCUCUUGCUGCCUCCAACUCCUCCUUCGAACAGCGAUACUCCCCGGGCAUUGUCCAGGGUCCUGCUCCAUCCAGGAUUUCCUCCCAGACAAAGUCCUCCUGACCACGCUUGGUCCGUUGGUGGUGGGUAGUUCUGUAACGGCUUUCUUCGGAAGAAGGGGACCAAAGUGCAGCGUGGUACAUGUUCAUGAUUUUAUUUAUCAAAAAACACUCAGACAAAAAAUAACAAAACGAAAAGCCAAACAGUUCCGUCAGGUACACUAUACAAAACAGAAAACAACUACCCACAAACACAGGUGGGAAAAAGGCUGCCGAAGCAUGAUUCCCAAUCAGAGACAACGAUAGACAGCUGCCUCUGAUUGGAAACCAUACUCAGCCAAAACAAAGAAAUAGAUAGCAUAGAAUGCCCACCCCACAUCACACCCCGAUCUAACCAAACAGAG
rnacentral:lncRNA from 1 species